AUUGAACGCUGGCGGCAGGCUUAACACAUGCAAGUCGAGCGGAGAUGAGGUGCUUGCACCUUAUCUUAGCGGCGGACGGGUGAGUAAUGCUUAGGAAUCUGCCUAUUAGUGGGGGACAACAUUCCGAAAGGAAUGCUAAUACCGCAUACGUCCUACGGGAGAAAGCAGGGGAUCUUCGGACCUUGCGCUAAUAGAUGAGCCUAAGUCGGAUUAGCUAGUUGGUGGGGUAAAGGCCUACCAAGGCGACGCUCUGUAGCGGGUCUGAGAGGAUGAUCCGCCACACGGGGACGGAGACACGGCCCAGACUCCUACGGGAGGCAGCAGUGGGGAAUAUUGGACAAUGGGGGGAACCCUGAUCCAGCCAUGCCGCGUGUGUGAAGAAGGCAUUAUGGUUGUAAAGCACUUUAAGCGAGGAGGAGGCUACUGAGACUAAUACUCUUGGAUAGUGGACGUUACUCGCAGAAUAAGCACCGGCUAACUCUGUGCCAGCCGCCGCGGUAA
rnacentral:rRNA from 1 species